rnacentral:rRNA from 1 species
AGGACGAACGCUGGCGGCGUGCUUAACGCAUGCAAGUCGAGCGGUAAGGCUCCUUCGGGAGUACACGAGCGGCGAACGGGUGAGUAACACGUGAGCAAUCUGCCCUUCACUUUGGGAUAACUUCCGGAAACGGAAGCUAAUACCGAAUACGACCAUCACAGACAUCUGUUGAUGGUGGAAAGUUCCGGCGGUGAAGGAUGAGCUCGCGGCCUAUCAGCUUGUUGGUGGGGUAACGGCCCACCAAGGCGACGACGGGUAGCCGGCCUGAGAGGGUGACCGGCCACACUGGGACUGAGACACGGCCCAGACUCCUACGGGAGGCAGCAGUGGGGAAUAUUGGACAAUGGGCGAAAGCCUGAUCCAGCAACGCCGCGUGAGGGAUGACGGCCUUCGGGUUGUAAACCUCUUUCAGCAGGGACGAAGCGAGAGUGACGGUACCUGCAGAAGAAGCACCGGCCAACUACGUGCCAGCAGCCGCGGU